rnacentral:rRNA from 1 species
GGACAGAGAGAGGGCCAUAUGGUCGUAUACCUUGUGGGGCCCGCCUCUCCUGUCGCGGUUUUGGGGGGGGGGCUUUUCCUGUGGGGUUCCCCGGGCUUUAUUGUCUGUGUGGUGGGGAAACCAGACUUUUUGUUUAAAAAAAAUAGAGUUGUCAAAGGGGGGCUUUUCUCAAACAAUUUAACAUGAAAAAAAAAAAGAAGAGGGGGGGGAUAUUUUUUUUGUUUCUCAGCCCCCCAAAAAAAAUAAAAGGGUGGGGUGGGGCAUCUACUUUGCAAUGUGAGGAGGAGAUUUUGUUGUUUUUUUGGAGACCCGGUGUGCGGCAGCAUUUUAAAAAUGAUGUUUUUAUUACCGGGGACCCCCAGUAUGGGGGGAGAACAUGAUUUAAUACCGUCAUACUCUAAAAACCUUACUCUGCCUACAAACGAGCGAACAAUGUUAUUAUUUUGCUCCCUCUCCACCCACCACAAAAAAAAAAGUUGUUUUUGUCUUCAUGGGGUGAUGUCGCGCGGUGGUUACAUAAACAAACGGAGCGAGAGGCGCGCCCCCGCGUCGGAGACCGCUCUUGAUUUUCACUCUCCACAGACAGCAGACUCACCGCCCGGAAAAACAAGGGAGAAGAUGGCCUAUUCGCCACCGCCCUUCUUCAUUUUGUAUGGUGGUCGGUGCACAGGCUGUGCUUAGCAGAGGGGAGUGGUCUGUCUGCUAUAAGAGAUAUAACGAAACGAUCACCGUCUCCAGUUCCAUGUCCGCGGUAGCCUGUGCGCUGGCAUGUAGACGCACAAGGACUAAAACCUAUCCCGCUGGAGAUUAACCAGGACGUGAAGCCCUGUCACGCUCAGAGAGUCAGUGCGUCACUCUGCACUGAUCCUCUAAUAAAGCAGUAUACGAUAGAGUC